rnacentral:rRNA from 1 species
CUAUGCGCCUUGCCAGCCCGCUCAGGUGUGCCAGCAGCCGCGGUAAUACGUAGGUGGCGAGCGUUGUCCGGAUUUACUGGGCGUAAAGGGAGCGUAGGCGGACUUUUAAGUGAGAUGUGAAAUACUCGGGCUCAACUUGAGUGCUGCAUUUCAAACUGGAAGUCUAGAGUGCAGGAGAGGAGAAUGGAAUUCCUAGUGUAGCGGUGAAAUGCGUAGAUAUUAGGAGGAACACCAGUGGCGAAGGCGGCCUACUGGACGGUGACUGACGCUGAGGCUCGAAAGCGUGGGGAGCAAACAGG